rnacentral:rRNA from 1 species
GAUCCUGGCUCAGGAUGAAUGCUGGCGGCGUGCUUAACACAUGCAAGUCGAACGAAGACAUCUGAGUGCUUGCACUUGGAUGGACUGAGUGGCGGACGGGUGAGUAACGCGUGGGUAACCUGCCUUAUACAGGGGGAUAACAGUUGGAAACGACUGCUAAUACCGCAUAAGCGCACGGUAUCGCAUGAUACAGUGUGAAAAACUCCGGUGGUAUAAGAUGGACCCGCGU